CCUACGGGUGGCAGCAGUGAGGAAUAUUGGUCAAUGGACGAGAGUCUGAACCAGCCAAGUAGCGUGAAGGAUGACUGCCCUAUGGGUUGUAAACUUCUUUUAUAUGGGAAUAAAAUGUUCCACGUGUGGGAUUUUGUAUGUACCAUAUGAAUAAGGAUCGGCUAACUCCGUGCCAGCAGCCGCGGUAAUACGGAGGAUCCGAGCGUUAUCCGGAUUUAUUGGGUUUAAAGGGAGCGUAGGUGGAUUGUUAAGUCAGUUGUGAAAGUUUGCGGCUCAACCGUAAAAUUGCAGUUGAAACUGGCAGUCUUGAGUACAGUAGAGGUGGGCGGAAUGCGUGGUGUAGCGGUGAAAUGCUUAGAUAUCACGAAGAACUCCGAUUGCGAAGGCAGUUCACUGGACUGCAACUGACGCUGAGGCUCGAAAGUGUGGGUAUCAAACAGGAUUAGAUACCCUUGUAGUC
rnacentral:rRNA from 1 species